CCAGCUGUCUCAAGAGGGGAGAUGAUGGGAGAUGAUAUUUUGAUUACAUUAAUCCAUAUCCUGUUAGUUCCCUUGGCUUCUGUCGCUGCCACUGGUGAAGUCACUAAUGUGAACUAAUUACAUUUGCUCUGAAAAGCCAAAAUUUUUAAUGCGUCUCAGCAAGAAAGGUUAAUAUUAUCAAUUUAACAGCGUGAAUGAAACAUGGUGUGUAUUGAACUCGAACUGUCCUAGAAGCUUGGAUAAUAAAAACCCAGUGGCUGCUUUUGUAGCCCACUGGAGAAACAGCUGCUGCUGAAAGAUGCUUCAUCCCUUCUUCUUCUCUUUAGUCUGAUGUGGGCAGGCACUUCUGGAUGCUCUCUGUUGACCGGGCGGUCUGGUGUGUGACAUAGCAGACCACGUGACGAAAGGUGCUUCCUUCCCUUUUAUGUCUUCCUGACUGUUGGGGUGUUUUCAGAGAGAAACACGGAUCGCCUCACCUCCCAGUGCUAACAGCCUUCCCGUUUUAAAAGCCUCUGAAUUAUCAAGACUUAGAGCACUUCACGUGUCGGUCGUUUCU
rnacentral:lncRNA from 1 species